GUGGGUUUGUGUGGUCAUAAAAGUGGCGUGACCGGCCUCACUUCCGGUCACGUACUGUCUCAGAGCUGCUCCAAACACUCCGUUUACCACAGCCUUCCACACUCUGGGACCUGUGUGACGUCACAAAGCUGCACCGCUGCAGGUGUGUCAGGUGUUCAGUGAGCUGAGACUCAGUCAAAGAAGGCUGACUGUGAGUGAAUCAUGCAAAGCUGCUUCUGCCUCGUUCAGGGUCUCACCCUCACCUUCCAGAGACUUUCUGGUGAUCUUUGGCCCCAGCUGCAGUGCCCUCCAGGUGAACUUUGACCUGUUGAGAGGCGCAGAAGGGCAGAUGGAGCUCUUUAAGCAGAAGUGUCCAGUCACAGGAAGUGGCGUCUGGUUUCUUGGCUGUCUGGUUUGGGACUUCCUGUCACUGGGCCAGAGUGUGUGUGUGUGUGUGUGUGUGUGUGCGUGUGUGUGUGUGUGUGUGUGUGUGUGUGUGUGUUUAACUCGUUUCUCCUUUAACGAGAAUCACGCUGACGUUCAGACGUCCGUACCUGUCCAGGUGUUCAGCCUGAGAGCUAAAACUUCUCGAGAACAAAGAACGCUGCACGAGAGGUUCGUUUAAAGAUGAAUAAAGUUUUUUGGGGGUUUUUGGGUCCAGAAUGUUUGAAAUCUCGUGAGCUUUGACUUAAAAGCAGAAAAUCUGAUUGAUUUAAUUCUGUUCCAUCGACGGUUCUGCCCAUUAAACCAGCGAGUGGAACGAAGGAGCGCUAAAUGUGACAAAUUUUGAAUGGAGUUUGGCCCGAGGUCGCUAACAUGAGUCGAGUCAGACGCUACAGACCGAGAAACGCUCCGUCACCCGUGUCACUCCCUGACCUUCACGACUGUUACAAAGACGGCGAGGAAUCAGAUUACUCUCGUCAUCACGGAAAUCAACCAGAAGCAAGAACCGAUCGAAUCUGAACGACGAUCGAUCGUGUGGUUCUGUGAGACAAUCAUAGCUGAAACUGAGCUGCGUAUUUAUUGAUUUCUGACAGGAUUCGUGUGAACGCCUCUUCACUGUUUUUCAUCUGUGUUUUAAAAAUUCCUCUUUUAAAAGUUUUAAAAUGUUUGCACCUUUUUUUUUUCUGUUUCCUGUUUCUUUUUGAAGUCUGAAACGUGUCGCCGAGCUCCUGCUCCUGAUCUGAUUCAUGUCACCUCAGCCGUGACAAAGUGGGUUUUAUUUUGGAAACUCUUCCACGCUUCAGCUGCCAUGCUUUUAUUCUGAAAAGCAGAACAUCUGAGGCUCUUUGAUUUACAAAUUCAGUCCAAGUGGAUUUUUCUGCGCUGUCCACCCGUCGUCAUGGUUACACCUCCGUUUCCACCAAUGGCGUGAGCGUUCGAGGAGGUUUAACCGUAAGGUCGUUCAGAUGCUGCAGGUCAAACUCCAGAUAAGCAAAGCACGCCGCCUCCUCUUAACCCUGUUAGCUUAUUUCUGAGCGCAGUUACUAAUUUCUGCUCCACGCCGUUUCCGUGACAACCCUCACUCCUGUUUGUGUGUGUCUGUUGUGUGUUGGAUGAUGUCCUGUGCAGUGACCUGAUGUAAGACACGUUUCUUAUCAGAAUAAAAUGCUGCUGCAACCCAGGAGAAGUAA